rnacentral:rRNA from 1 species
GACGGGGGCCCGCACAAGCGGUGGAGCAUGUGGUUUAAUUCGAUGAUACGCGAGGAACCUUACCUGGGCUCGAACGUAAGAUGACUGUAGGUGAAAGCUUACAUCUCUUCGGAGCAUUUUACGAGGUGCUGCAUGGUUGUCGUCAGCUCGUGCCGUGAGGUGUCGGGUUAAGUCCCAUAACGAGCGCAACCCUACCUUUAGUUGCCAUCAGGUAAUGCUGGGGACUCUAAAGGAACUGCCUACGCAAGUAGUGAGGAGGGCGGGGAUGACGUCAAAUCAGCACGGCCCUUACGUCCAGGGCUACACACGUGCUACAAUGGCCGAUACAGAGAGCAGCUACCUGGUGACAGGAUGCAAAUCUCCAAAGUCGGUCUCAGUUCGGAUCGGAGUCUGCAACCCGACUCCGUGAAGUUGGAUUCGCUAGUAAUCGCGCAUCAGCCAUGGCGCGGUGAAUACGUUCCCGGGCCUU